UUUAGUUGUUUAAUUUUUAUUUUUAAAUAUUACAGUGGAAAGAACGUGGACUUUGGAGUCCCAUAGCCCUGGACUCCAAUUCGGUGGGUCGAAUACCUAGCUUUGUGACCCUUUGUGACACUCAACUGAGCUUCGUUUCACGACAGCUUUUUUCCCACGGGGCUGCUGUAAGGCUUAGAUGCAAUAAUGGAGGUGAGGUUGCCCAGUCGGUAGCCUAAGACCCAGCGCUAGUGUCGGGGGAAUGUGCACUUGACCUCAACCAGUGAAGGCGAAGGAUAAGCUUCCAGGCCCUAAACCCGAGGCCAAGCCAGCCCCGGUCUCCUUGGCGCUCGCUGGCGUCCAGGGUCGGCAGCAGGGCUGGGGACAGUGGGAGUGGGUACUAGGCGGUUCCCAACCACGCCGCAUGUCGGAAUCCACGCGGACGUUUGAAGAAACAUCCGCUGGGGGCCUCAGCAGAGUCCAAUUCAUCGCGAGCCUCUGGGAUUCUUGCUCUUUGCUCUGUCACCCAGGCUAUAGUGCAGUGGCGCAAUCUCAGCUCACUGCAACCUCUGCUUCUGGGGUUCAAGCGAUUCUCACACCUCAGCCUCCAGAGCGGCUGGGACUGCAGGCUCACUGCAACCCCCACCUCCCGGUUUCAAGCGAUCCUCCUGCCUCGGCCUCCCAAAGUGCUGGGAUUAAGGUGUGCACCAUCGCGCCUGGCCUAACAGGACAUUUUUAAAAGAUUGAGUCAGAGUUUCUUCUCAGUUUGUGACAGCCUGGAGCUGAUUUAAUUCCAGCCAAAGGUAAGGAAAUCUGAUGUGGGGUUAGCCUGUGCAACCACUUUCAGAAGAUUUUAUGAUUUGGUAUUUUAAAUACUAAACAUAUCUCAAGGUCACCAAUGACGACUUUCAUAGCUAAGGGCCCUGGGACCCCAGGUUUCAUACCAUCCCCCUGUUUAACUUCAAGCUUGCUGUACAGAACCAAAGAGGCUGAAUACUUUCCACCAAAAGGAGGAUCUGGCACGGUUGGGUUCCACUUGCAGGGCAUUCAAGGACAGUAAUGGAGAAGUCAUGGAGGCUUGUUCACUGCAAACCCAUAAUGUACACCCAGGCAAUGUUGAGUCACUUCCCUGAUAUUAAAACCUUUAAUCCUGACAACCUGAUGAGGUGGAUAAUGUGUGCUGCUCCAUUUUACAGAUGAGUAAACUGAGGCACUAGGAGGUAAAGUGGCUUGUUGGCCAAGGCCAAGCUUGCACAGCUACCCUGGCAGAGCUGAGAUUUUCAUCCAGGCAGUCUAACUCCAAACCCCCUACUCUUAACCCUCUUCUAUAGUCCAGUCUUGUGAGAAACCCACAACCUCUGUGCCUAAACUGAACAGGAGAGAGAUUCCUUGGGCUAAUGACCAUACCUGUUCACAAAUACAGUUUGGUGGGUUUAUUGAAAAGCACAGCAUCUAAGGACAUGGAGAACAGGGAGAACCCCUCCCAGAUCCAGAAAGGGCAGACAAGCCAUUUCUCUCUUCCUGCAAAAACAUUUAAAACAAUCCUUUAGUCCCUGAAAUGUUUUUUUCUGUUUUCCUAAAGAGGUUUCACAAAGAAACAAAAAAUUCUGUCUUCUUUCCCUUGCAGUCUUUAGACUUUUCCUUAAAGAGAGUGGAUUCACUCUGCAGUGUACAGGGAGCACUGUAUGUCUCAGAUUUCCUUCAGUGUACUGGACCAGAGAUCAACUCCCCAACCUUUUGCCCAAAUCUCUUGCAUAGCCUGUCAUUCUCUAUCUUUUGCUUAUUGUGCACACAGGGAUGUUGUGAGUUUUGAAGAUGGUAUAGAUAUCUGAGUGCUGUGCCAAGUGUAUUUCAGAGACAUCUACUCAUCUCUUGACUGAGAGGAUACCAGGGUCUUACCACAUCUGAGCUUAGUUCAUUGCAGUCACUUUAGAGGGUAUCUGAAGAAAAAGCACUGUGUCUAGAAGUAUCAAAGAUGGGUUCAUGUGUGUGCUGACCAGAGGAGGCAGUGGAGAAUCACAUGCCUGAUGCCUGGACUCAGCUGCUUCCAUGGAAAGAUCUGGAUAGAGGUAAUGCCUGCCGAAGGCCAAGCUGGUCUGCACAGCACAAGACUAGGGUACGUUAGAUCCCUUUCCCCCAAAGUUCUGAUAUUUGCCUAUUGUCUUGGAGAUCUUGGCAGAAAGCAAGAUCAUAACUUACAUUUCUGCAAGUUCUUCUAUAUGUAGGUCCUCCCCACAAGAUUUUAUUAGAUUUUCAUAUUUUUAAAUCAAGAGAAGAGUCAUAGAAAUGGGGUUGAGAAAUAUAAGAAAUUUCAUGAGAAACAACUAAUACAUCCCCAUACAUUCUAUCAGUUUCAUUGUGGUCAAAAGCAGGUGUUUCCACGCUGUGAAUAAGUAGUUUGCAUUUUCAAAGUUAACAAAUUGGAUCAACAACAAAGAAAAGAAACCAACCAUAGACAGCCCACCAGCGGAUUGUUUACCAAAGAAGAUGAAGCUCAUGGCGAUGGUUUGCAAACACCACCAGACUAGCUUGUGUAAAUUCCCUUCGUUUAGUCAUCGUUCUUCAGCCUGUCACAGAUACUGAAGGGAAAUGCAGAAACAGGAAAUUACAGACUAUUUUAAACAGCAUGUUUUAUUAAACUCACUUGCUGAUGCACUUUAUGGCAGGAUGCGAGAUUCAAGUGUUCAUAACUUACAUCUUUGCAAGUGCUUUUCCUAAGUGAGUUCUCCCAGCUCAAAUAUGGCAGGUACCCAAGGCUGGGAAAUAAUCUCCAAACUAGUAACUCUUUCACCCCAGGUCGUGUAGCUAUAUCACAUAGAAUUGAGACAUUUUAGCCAUGUCAAGAGAAUAUACCUUGCUUAGGCACUAUAGCUAAGAAAGCAACGGAGAGGCAUCUUGUAGUAACUUAAAAGAUCCUUAAUGCAUUUAUUUUAAACCACAAAAUCAAAGUACAGCAAUCUUAAAAUGAAUCACUACAAACCAUACAUUGUCUCUUAUUAUUUAAAUACUGAUAUCAUUCUUCUCUUCAUGGGACAGUUCUGCACCUAGUUUAAACCAUCAUUACUAAUGCCAUGCUGAAUGCUUGUCUCUGAAAAAAUCUAGUAAAAUUGGCAGGGAUGUGAUAACCUUAACUACAAAUGAAAUAACUUCAAAUUUAAGGGGCUGUCAGAAAAAUGGAAUUUCACAACUAAUUAUUUCCAAAAAAGUCUCUUGCUCACCAUUUGUUAGAAGGAUAUAAAAACCUAGCUGUAUCACACAGGAAUCCUUGUAUCCUUGUCUUAUAUUUGUUGCGAAGUUGUUGUCUCUUAAUGGUCAUGUCUUCUACAAGUUGUCCUCUGCUCUGCUCCUGAUACACAGAAAGGAAGUCACCAAGUGGAGCUGUAAUACAAGUUCAUAACUGGAGGGGUGGGUAGCCAUGUCUUGAUGGAGUUAACUAUGAGCUCUAAAAAUAAAGACUUUCAUUCCCUUGCUUCACCAUUUAACAAAGAAGCAUGUAAAAUGUUCUAAAUUUCUGUUGUCUUAAUAAAAGGUCAUGC